GGGUUCUUCCAUGGAAAAAAACACCCAGGAAAGAAAUGUUCUCCCUUAGUCCUAGAGCUGGCCAGAAACCACAGCUAUAGCUCCCUAAUAGCAGAACUUCACACAGAUUUCAGGAGUGCAGCAGUAAAACAUUAGAAAUCCUUACUUGGCUGAUUGAUGAGACAGAGAUGGAGCAAAAGAGCCUUUGGUGCCUCAGCAUUACCUCUGACAACUUGGUGGAUCCUGUUUAUCACUAAUCAUCAAACAGAGAUACAACAGCAGCAAUAUGUCUUGCUCCAGGAGAUGUAACUUGGUCCGAAGAAAAACAAGUACUAAAAUCUGACAAUGCUCUGCAGAAGACAGUGUCUUUUCUCUGCCCAUUUCUUAUACUGCUUGAGAGGGUGGUAAGUUUGGACACAAGCACUUUCUAAAUAUAAACAUAUCUAAAUAGUACAGUUAUACCCAAAUUGUGCUAGAGAAAGGAAGACUCCCAUUUGCUCACUAUGGUGUCUUAACCUAGGUCUGCUUUGCCACUCAAAAGAUCGGGGCUUUUUGCACGAUUCCCCAAAAAAGACUAAUCUUGAUUUAGCACAGGAAUUCAGAAACAAGUGGUUAGCAAUUACUAACAUACAAAA
rnacentral:lncRNA from 1 species